AAUUAUAUAGUCUAAAAGGACAUUAAAUUGCAAAUUUAAAGGUGAUUUUAAUCUAUAAUUU
rnacentral:tRNA from 1 species